rnacentral:lncRNA from 1 species
AAUUUUUAAAAAGGAAUAGAUCGCCGACAGAAAAUAAAAUGGCUUUGAUGGAGUUUCUUUAUACGGCUCUAAGACCUACUGCUCCGUGGUCUUUAAAAAAGACGAAAGGUUUUCGCCUCCUGAUUUAAGUAAUUAAAUAAGUAUUUGGCUGCCGUUUUUAUUGUGUACACUUGAUUUACGCGUGUCUUCUGUGCACGACAACUGUGUUUAAUACUGUAUAUCGGCUGCCCCGAGUCCGAGGCCACUGCGUACCUGACUGCCGCUUUAGAAUUAUGUUUUAGUCAAGAAUUACUCUUCCUAUUUAAAGGAAGCUGCCGCGACAUCCUGGGUAUAUAUACCCGAUGUGUGGGAUACUUUUCAAGUGUUCAGCUAGCGCUUUCUCGAUCUGUAAACGCAUCUCGGAGCUGGCGAGCCCGUUGAAUUACCCCGCCGCGGCGGUGUGCAGCGAGCUGCCUGCCUCUCUCCUCGGACGGACUUAGCAGCAGCUACACAGGCGCUUGGCUUUCGCAUCUAUCCGCCAUUUUCCGCUGAUUGGGAGCAGGUAGACCAAGACAGACCGCACGACGCCGCUCAAAAUACAACAGAGCCCAUGUGAGCGCAGGCAUGAUGCUGCCCUGACCGUGCGCCCCCAGAGCUCAGCAGUGACGUCCCAUGGAGCAGGUGAGCUGCAGAGGACGGUGACCGGAGGGCAUCAUGGCCCCUCUUGUCCACAGCCGCUUUUAAGACAUGACGGAUUUAAACUUACAUGCCGAAUCUCACGUUUAAUAUACCCGUAUUUCACCUCUGAUCUUCUGACUAUCUGUUUCUCUCUUUUUCUACAUGAUCCGCUGCUGCGUUAGUGUGUUGGUGGCUAAGAAUCCUUACCGGUGCCUUCCAACAUAAUUAUCGAUUCCUGACGAAUGCUGUGUGGGAGCAAUAGCAAACAGCAAAACGUAUAAUUUGGUGGUUAAAGUUCUGUUGUUUUGCUUCACAAGUGGGGCACUGCCUGAAGGGAAGGGGCAUUAGAGAUCAAGUCGUAACUGACUGUGCUUGGAGGACAGCAUUGUGAUUCCCCCUGUACAC